rnacentral:tRNA from 1 species
UAGGAAAUAAUAUAAAGGAAGUAUGGAGGGUUUUGAUCUCUUCUGUGUAGGUUCGACCCCUACUUUCCUAA